UACAGAGGUGGCAAGCGUUGUUCGGAAUUACUGGGCGUAAAGGGCGCGUAGGCGGCCAUCUAAGUCAGACGUGAAAUCCCCCGGCUCAACCUGGGAACUGCGUCUGAUACUGGGAGGCUAGAGUUUGGGAGAGGGAUGUAGAAUUCCAGGUGUAGCGGUGAAAUGCGUAGAUAUCUGGAGGAAUACCGGUGGCGAAGGCGGCAUCCUGGACCAAUACUGACGCUGAGGCGCGAAAGCUAGGGGAGCAAACGGGAUUAGAUACCCCGGUAGUCCUAGCCCUAAACGAUGAAUACUUGGUGUGGCGGGUAUCGAUCCCUGCCGUGCCGAAGCUAACGCAUUAAGUAUUCCGCCUGGGGAGUACGGUCGCAAGGCUG
rnacentral:rRNA from 2 species